GAGCCGCGUCAGAGCGCGGCUCCGCGCAGGCGCUGCGCGCAAGGCCUCAUGGGAGCUGUAGUUCGAAAAGGCGCAGCCAGGGUCUUCUCCUCCUCCUCCCCCACCACCACCCUCCCCUCACAAAAAGCGGCGAUGUGACGCAGAGCUUUUUCGCUUUGGCAGCUGCUUGUUGUUAUAGCAGCCCCGCCUCCAGCAACUGUUGCUAAGGGGACGGGGAACUACCCGCUGCUGAAGAGGCAAGGGGGCCUGUGGCGCUGCUGGAGGAGGGGGUUUCGCACGGCUGGCUCGUGACUUGGCGCUUUCCCUUUCUCCUCGCACCCGAAGCGGCCCCCCCCCCCAAUAUAUAUGCCAGCCCCAACCCCCCAUACUCUGCUUCAGUUUAAGCCAGGUUUAAAUAAAUGUGUCGCCGGACUCUAGAUGGAACUGGUUCUUGGGCUGUCAUUUAUAAAGGAGGGAUCAACGACUGCGGAAACCAAACUGAAAAUAAAUGGAGCAAAGGUCAUCACCACACGCACCGAAAGUACAAAUCAGUGGCAGGAACGAAACGUCACACCGACAUAUCUUCGUGUAUUUGCUUUUAGAAAUGGCCUUUUUGGAGGGCACCUGAAGCUGCUGGACAUUAUUACAUAGCUGUAAGCGCGCCAAGGAUAUAUUUGAUAUGAACCCUGAUUUUUGGUAAGUGACAUAACGCGAUUGGUAUCCAAUCUCUUCCUGUGUCAUAAAAAUCAGCUCAAGUUUCAGGUGCAGGUAAGUCCGAGGCCAUUCUUCAUCCUGAAUAUAGUAUGUUCUACUUUUGGGUGUGGAUCUAAAAAUCAAGAUCAUCCAGGAAGUAGGGCAAAUAUUUGUCAUUCAAAAAUUAGUACUAUUGCCUCGUUUAAUAGAUUUGAAGGUCCUGCACGCAUAGGUUUUGACUUUGCUUGCUGUGACUACUUAAAGAAAAAGAAAAAAACUGGCCAAACAAGGAAACUGUCAACAAAAGAAAGGGCCUUCAGUUGAGUAUUCAUAGCCAUGAGAGAGCCAUAUAUAAUGAGCUGGAUCCCACACCCAGACUAAGGUAUAUGGAGAACAAAGUGUCCUUUCUUGACCUAGUAAUAGUCCUUUCCAUUUUCAACAGGAUUCAGGCACCUUUGACCUUCCAGAUCUUGUGGCCUCCAGUUUGAUCAGCCACAGCUGGCAUGGCCAAUGGUCAGGGAUGUUAAGUGUAAUAGGUACUGAAAAGCAAAUGAGCAGCAGAGGAAGUAGUAGGGGAUGUGGAUUUCUCCUUAACCAGGCACACCCUGGUUGGGAAAAACACCGAAGCAGUGCAUCUGGUGACAAGGGAAAAGCGGAUUGGCUUUGGGUGUAUUUUUCGAUAUCUGGAUUAUCCCUGGAUAGGGGAGAUCUGAAAAGGAGUGAGAUAGGGGCUAGUGGUGGAGACUGUCGUGUGGGCAAUGGUUAAAAACUUCAGGGACAAAGAGCAUUAAACACACAGUAAAUGCUACUGUGAACAAGCCCAGAGUUGUAGCCCAUCUGAAGGGACACAGGCUCCCCAUGCCUGAUUUGCAAUUUUGUAUUGUGCUUUUGUGUGCUCAAAGUACUUCACAGGCAUUAAGCCUGUGAGGUAGAUGAGCUUUAUUCUCCUCAUAGUGGAGGGUGCGGGGUAAGGCUUGAAUGACAGCUACUUCCCUUGGGUGUUGUGAAGGGAUGGCUCAGAGCCAGACCAUAGCUCUCUUGCCCCUUUCCUCCCCCUUUAAAAAAAAUCUUAAAAAUAAUUGUUUACCUUUGCCUACAGGACAACAAGCUUCAGUCAGUGACAAGGUUGGGCAUGGCAAACCCAAGACCAGCAGAGGGCCCACUGUCCUAACAGCACUCCCAUUUUCACAUUUCAACAAAGUAUCUGAAAGGGUCAUAUGUAGCCUAAGAGAAAUCUCAGUUUGCAUGCCCCACGUCUUCCAGGUUGGAUGUCCCCACUGUGGGUGAUCUGUCCAAGGGCUCCAAAAUCCUGGAGCCAGGACUGAGUAGGAAAGCCAUAUUCCUGGGGUUACACUAGAUUGGUCUCAAUUAGACAACUGGCCUGUGAGGGCAAGCUACAACAUUUAAAACACAACUUUAACAUUAAAAUACAAUAUUGCACAAUAUUACAAAAAAAGUUCAAAGCGACUUAAAAUUGCAAAAUUAAGGUGGAUCCUAAAAAUAUACACCUCAAGUCACAGUAAAGAGAUGUAUCUUCAGCAUUCGCCAAAAGCUGUAUAAUGAUGGUGCCAAACACACUAUUCUAAUCAUUCUAAUCCUCUGAGCUCCUUUUUCUAUUCCAAAAGCCCUCUUUCUGAUCUAUGGGUUUUGCAACUGAGCUACAGCUCCACACAGGACCCUCAAUUAUUGCUCUCCUCAAGCCUUGAGGCAGCAGGAUUAAAAUCUGCUCAAAUGAGACUUGAAUCUACGCCUCCUGUUCCUAGUUGCAUUGACCCCCCCCCCAUUAGCUACAAAGCCUUGUGCACAGUUACCUGCUGUGUGCUUGCUGUUAUCUUUUCCAUCCGUCCCUCAUGCAUGUGCCUCUCUGCCUCUGCAAGUAUUGGUCCUCCUCAGAGGGCAGUGGCGCUGUCAGGACAGGACAUCGGGGCAGAGGUCCAGGGCCCUGCUUAGCCGAGCUGGAGGACUUCCAAAUUCAGGACAGGGCUGGCUGAUCACAUUUUGAAGCAAGUGAACUGCUGUCUAAAGAGGAAGCUCCAUUAAAUCCAGAGUCACAAAUAACCCAACUGCACCACUGCCAGAGAGACAGCAACGCAGGAGUGUGGUGUGUGCAGCAUUAUAGAAACAGCGUCUCCGCACAAAGGCACCGUUCCCAUAGCAGGACUCAGAACCUUCUCCUGGGAUGCCAUGGGUUCUCCCUGCUGGCUUUUCGUUAUAGCACGGUGUCAGCUAGUACUGUGGAAAGAGCUGUAGUCUCUUCUCUACUCAGUGGUUGUUUGUUUGGCCACCUUUGGAGGCUGGAUGGUGCAGUCCAUACAUGUAUAACUUUAUCAUAUAGAAUCGUAGGACUGUAGAAUUGGAAGGGACCAUGAGGAUCAAUCUUGUUCAACCUCCUGCGAUUUAGGAAUCUUUCACCCAACAUGGGGCUCGAACCCAUGACCUUGAGAUUAAGAGUCUCAUGCUCUACCAACUGAGCUAUCUGGGGGCCUUAGCAACAGGCUGCAGAGUUUCCAGCAAUACUGCGUGAACACUUCCUAUUAUUGCUGCAUUAGCUUUUGUUUUGACAGGUACUGUUUACUCUGCUGCCCAGAGAGCAUAGGAUCUUGACUGUGCUAUCCUAGCAUUAGCCCUGCCGAAGCUGCACUUGCAAAACAGUGCUAUAUGAUCUGCCCAUCUGACUUUUUACCACACAAUGUAGUUUUUUUAACCAACAUGCAUUAGAGUAGUCCUAUUAAAGCCAUUAUUUUUGGCCUCAGUUCAUAGGCACCAACUCUAAGGGGCCCAGAUCCCAAUAAAAUAUUUGAGGGGUAGUCGCCCCACAUUGAGAGCAAUUGGGGCAGAGGAGGUUGAGCGUGAAGCUGAACAUGGCACAGCUUCAGUGGCUGACGAUUCCUCCUCCUCUUCUUGCCACAGAGAGGAAGGAGUGGGGAAGCAGCCCUGGGCUGGUGGCGGCAGAAAGAGGAGGAGGUGGAGACUGAGUACCAGAGAGAAGGAGCCGCCAGCCACUUAAGCCAUACUGCCGCCAUGUUUGGCUCCACUCCCUGGCACCUCCCGGCAUCCCUGUGUCACAUACACGUAAUGUGUGUGCCAUCACCCCCCCUCCCAAUCUUCUGCUAGGUUGGCAACUCUGCUUCAAUUAAAGUUUUGCAGACACAGUUUUCUUCCCCUCAACAGCGGUUGAAAGUCCAGCAUAGCUUUUUCUGCUCAGGCUUGGACAGUGUUCUUUUGGAGGAGUGUCCACUGUAGACUUACCUUAUCCUUUGCGAGAUAGAAAGUGACACACACUAAAAAUCGAAUCACACAUAUUUUAUAUUGGAACUGGAGCUACAAUUUCCAUAUUCCUUCAUACCCUUCCUACAACCCCGGCUGAAUGAAAAUCAUUUACAAAUUCUGCUGUUUAACUGGUCAAAGAGGUCAUAUGACGCAUGGACACCAUUUUCCAUUGUCCAGAAAAACUCCUUGCAACUAUUAGGCCGUGGCCUCCAUGUUAACCGGACAAUAGUUUAGUGUUCUCUGGGAUAUGGGAACACCACCAUUUUCAUUCCUGUACAUUUAUUACUAUAGAUGGUUGGCACAAUCAACAAAGACUUUCCCAAGAUGAAUGGUGUUACUAUAAGAAACACUGAAUAAACCCUUUUGCUUUCCUG